ACACUCCUACGGGAGGCAGCAGUGGGGAAUAUUGCACAAUGGGCGCAAGCCUGAUGCAGCCAUGCCGCGUGUAUGAAGAAGGCCUUCGGGUUGUAAAGUACUUUCAGCGGGGAGGAAGGCGAUAAGGUUAAUAACCUUGUCGAUUGACGUUACCCGCAGAAGAAGCACCGGCUAACUCCGUGCCAGCAGUCGCGGUAAUACGGAGGGUGCAAGCGUUAAUCGGAAUUACUGGGCGUAAAGCGCACGCAGGCGGUCUGUCAAGUCGGAUGUGAAAUCCCCGGGCUCAACCUGGGAACUGCAUUCGAAACUGGCAGGCUAGAGUCUUGUAGAGGGGGGUAGAAUUCCAGGUGUAGCGGUGAAAUGCGUAGAGAUCUGGAGGAAUACCGGUGGCGAAGGCGGCCCCCUGGACAAAGACUGACGCUCAGGUGCGAAAGCGUGGGGAGCAAACAGGAUUAGAAACCACUGUAGUCCCAUGAU
rnacentral:rRNA from 1 species